UAAAUACUCCCGAGAGACCGAUAGCGAACCAGUACCGUGAGGGAAAGGUGAAAAGCACUUCGAACAGAAGAGUGAAAGAGUUCCUGAAACCGUGCGCCUACAAUCCGUCGGAGCCUCCUUGUGGGGUGACGGCGUGCCUAUCGAAAAAUGAGUCUGCGAGUCAGUGGUGCGUGGCGAGGCUAACCCGUGGUGGGGGAGCCGUAGCGAAGGCGAGUCUCAAAAGGCGUUUUGAGUCGCGCGCCCUGGACCCGAAGCGGGAUGAUCUAGCCCUGGGCAGGUUGAAGCGCGGGUAAGACCGCGUGGAGGACCGAACCCACCUGGGUUGAAAACCGGGGGGAUGACCUGGGGCUAGGGGUGAAAGGCCAAUCAAAUUCCGUGAUAGCUGGUUCUCUCCGAAAUGCAUUUAGGUGCAGCGUCGGUUGAUUGCAUCGCGGGGGUAGAGCUACUGGAUGCUUGCGGGCCCGUGUCGGGUACCAAUAGCAGCCAAACUCCGAAUACCGUGGAUGUGUAUUCCGGCAGUGAGUCGGCGGGGGAUAAGCUCCGUCGUCGAGAGGGAGACAGCCCAGAUCGUCGUCUAAGGUCCCGAAGCGUGUGCUAAGUGGGAAAGGAUGUGGAGUCGCAUAGACAGCCAGGAGGUUGGCUCAGAAGCAGCCAUCCUUUAAAGAGUGCGUAACAGCUCACUGGUCUAGUGGUUCCGCGCCGACAAUGUAGCGGGGCUCAAGCACACCACCGAAGACGCGGCAGCGGCCUUUGCGGCCGUUGGGUAGGAGAGCGUCCCGCGUGGGGCGAAGCGGCCGGGGAACCGUGCCGUGGACCGCGCGGGAGUGAGAAUGCAGACAUGAGUAGCGAGAGACGGGUGAGGAUCCCGUCCGCUGGAUGACCAAGGGUUCCGGGGCCACGUUCGUCGUCCCCGGGUGAGUCGGGUCCUAAGGCGAGGCCGACAGGCGUAGUCGAAUGGAUGAACGGGUGGAUAUUCCCGUACCGGCGGCGUACCGUAAGAGCCGAACGGAUGAGUACUAACCUCCGGUCGCGUGGCGUCGUUCCCUUCGGGGUUCGGGGCGCGUGGCUGUUGGGAGCGUAGUCCUGGUAGGCUAGCGCACAGGGGUGACACGGAAUGGGAGCCGGCCGCGGAGGUGGUUUUCCGUGGUCAAGCACGCAGCCCGUCCCAUAGGCAAAUCCGUGGGACGCAUAGGGUGAGGUGUGAUGAUGGGCGUCCUUUGGACGCGAUAUCCGGUGGUCCAGGCCGUCGAGAAAAGCCUCGGCGCGAGGGGCGUCGCCGCCCGUACCCCAAACCGACACUGGUGGUCAGGUAGAGAAUACCAAGGCGAUCGAGCGAAUCCUGGUCAAGGAACUCGGCAAAUCACUCCCGUGCCUUCGGUAUAAGGGAGACCCCCGGGCGUGAAGAGGCUUGCCCUCGGAGCGUUGGGGGGUGGCACAGACCAGGGGGUAGCGACUGUUUACCAAAAACACAGGUGCAUGCGAAGGCGCAAGCCGCUGUAUAUGCACUGACGCCUGCCCGGUGCCGGAAGGUUAAGAGGAUCCGUCAGCCCCUUUUGGGGUGAAGCGGUGAAUUCAAGCCCCGGUAAACGGCGGUGGUAACUAUAACCAUCCUAAGGUAGCGAAAUUCCUUGUCGGGUAAGUUCCGACCUGCACGAAUGGCGUAACGACUUCCCCACUGUCUCGACCAGGAGCUCGGCGAAAUUGCAGUACGAGUAAAGAUGCUCGUUAAGCGCAGAAGGACGAAAAGACCCCGGGACCUUUACUAUACCUUGGUAUUGGCGUUAGGCGCGGAUUGUGUAGCAUAGGCGGGAGGCUUCGAAGCAUGGGCGCCAGCCCGUGUGGAGCCGCAAGGUGAAAUACCGCUCUGUUCUCGUUUGACGUCUAACCUCGAACAGUCAUCCUGUUCAGGGACAGUGCCUGGCGGGUAGUUUAACUGGGGCGGUUGCCUCCCAAAGAGUAACGGAGGCGCUCAAAGGUCCGCUCAGCCCGGUUGGCAAUCGGGUUUCGAGUGUAAUCGCACAAGCGGGCUUGACUGCGAGAACGACGGUUCGGGCAGGGACGAAAGUCGGAGAUAGUGAUCCGGUGCCGGCGCACGGGCGCGGCAUCGCUCAACGGAUAAAAGGUACCCCGGGGAUAACAGGCUGAUCAUUCCCAAGAGUCCAUAUCGACGGGAUGGUUUGGCACCUCGAUGUCGGCUCGUCGCAUCCUGGGGCUGGAGUAGGUCCCAAGGGUUGGGCUGUUCGCCCAUUAAAGCGGUACGCGAGCUGGGUUCAGAACGUCGUGAGACAGUUCG
rnacentral:rRNA from 1 species